GCGGAGGAAAAGAAACUAACAAGGAUUCCCCUAGUAACGGCGAGUGAAGAGGGAAAAGCCCAAAUUUGUAAUCUGGCUCUUUUAGAGUCCGAGUUGUAAUUUUGAGAACUGUUUUCCGUGCUGGACCAUGUACAAGUCUGUUGAAAAACAGCAUCAUUGAGGGUGAAAAUCCCGUACAUGAUAUGGACUACCAGUGCAAUGUGAUACAGUCUCUAAGAGUCGAGUUGUUUGGGAAUGCAGCUCAAAGUGGGUGGUAAAUUCCAUCUAAGGCUAAAUAUAGGUGAGAGACCGAUAGCAAACAAGUACCGUGAGGGAAAGAUGAAAAGAACUUUGGAAAGAGAGUUAACAGUACGUGAAAUUGUUAAAAGGGAAACAUUUGAAGUUAGACUUGUUAUUGUUGGUUCAGCUUUCUUUUUUGAAGGUGUAUUCCAAUGGUUAACAGACCAGCAUCAAUUUUUGGGUGUUAGAUAAGGGUCUUGAGAAUGUAGCAAUUUCGGUUGUGUUAUAGCUCUUGACUUUGAUAUAAUGCUUAGGAUUGAGGAACGCAGUGAGCUUUUUAUUAAGUGGAUGCCUUUGGGGAUCUUCUCACUACGGAUGUUGGUGUAAUAGCUUUAAAUGACCCGUCU
rnacentral:rRNA from 1 species